CAGUGGAUGCCUGAAACGACAAAUAGUACCAAACUCUAUAGGCUAUGUCUCAUAUCUAUUGAGGAUACACCAGCAGAGGAGACCCCAUCCAAGAUUCUAAUGAGAAUUCUGAGCACACAGAAUUGUCUCUAUGGUUGAUAUAUUCAGCUAUACUGAAUGUUUGAUGGUUGAUAUAUCCAGUUAUACAUCCCCUAACAACAUCUCACCAAAAUGACUAGGAGGAGUAACACCC
rnacentral:lncRNA from 1 species